GCACAUACGAGGCUCUCCUGUUCAUAUUGAGCUCCGGUGCAGGCCUCACUGAUCGAUCCCCUCCACUGAUUGGCACAGCAGACUCACCAAACUCUGCGGCCAAGAUGCACUGCACCAUCAUGUUCACAUCUAGCUAGAUUUGUAUCACCUUGGAGAGGUCAUGGGAGGACAUGCUUCAAAUUUCUAUGCUAACAACAUGCAAACACUUAACGUAUAUCCCCGAUCUGGUAGCCAUGCCAACGCAAAAGGAAAAGAAACACCGGGAGUUAAGUGGGCAUGCUAGGCUGGAUAUUCCCUUCAUCCCUACUCACUUAACGCCCCCUCCGAUUCUACCUCUCCAUUCUAAAAGAGGGGGGUGAAAGAGGUCUUCACACAGCAUAUGAAAUGAAGAGGACCCAUUAGUGCAGAGGCCUACAGGGCUGAAUACCAGAGGAACGGCCUGACUGGAAAAGCAAAAUUCCAUAAUGGCCUUAUUUCCUAACAAUCUAAAAUAAUCUCUUAAUUGCCUACAAACAUGAGAGUUAGGUUACACCAGAAACACGAAUAUUGAUCGAAAUGGACUGCAUACUGAAAACACAAAGCGAAAAUCAUGCUGUGAAGUAACAUUUAACAUUUUCAAAGCUCAGGCUGAUGGUAAAAAGCUGGCAUUUGCACAAAUAAAUAUAUAACCAUUGAUGGACAAGUGUAUAAAUAAUGAAGUGACGAAAAACUGUUUAGCGUGCUGCUUUAAGAGGAUGACUUGGACAAAGAUCUAUCCACCCAAGAUAAAACAGGCUGAAAUGUGAAGUGAUGCAUUUGGAGAUUGAGAAUCAUGUCUUUCCUCUUUUGUGAUAACAACAUUUAGAAUUAUCACUGGCUAACUGUUGCGCUGGAGAAUAGUGCAUUGACUUCUAUUGACAAGCUUUGUCAUGUCUCUUGCUCUCUCUCUUCCCUUCUCUCUCUACUCCUCUCUCCAAUCCUCACUUUAUUCCUGUCUC